rnacentral:rRNA from 1 species
ACGCUCGACACCUACGGGAGACAGCAGUGAGGAAUAUUGGUCAAUGGACGCAAGUCUGAACCAGCCAUGCCGCGUGCAGGAUGACGGCUCUAUGAGUUGUAAACUGCUUUUGUACGAGGGUAAACGCAGAUACGUGUAUCUGUCUGAAAGUAUCGUACGAAUAAGGAUCGGCUAACUCCGUGCCAGCAGCCGCAGUAAUCUGAGCGGGCUGGCAAGGC